rnacentral:rRNA from 1 species
UAGGGAAUCUUCGUCAAUGGACGAAAGUCUGACCGAGCAACGCCGCGUGAGUGAAGAAGGUUUUCGGAUCGUAAAACUCUGUUGUUAGAGAAGAACAAGGACGUUAGUAACUGAACGUCCCCUGACGGUAUCUAACCAGAAAGCCACGGCUAACUACGUGCCAGCAGCCGCGGUAAUACGUAGGAGGCAAGCGUUGUCCGGAUUUAUUGGGCGUAAAGCGAGCGCAGGCGGUUUCUUAAGUCUGAUGUGAAAGCCCCCGGCUCAACCGGGGAGGGUCAUUGGAAACUGGGAGACUUGAGUGCAGAAGAGGAGAGUGGAAUUCCAUGUGUAGCGGUGAAAUGCGUAGAUAUAUGGAGGAACACCAGUGGCGAAGGCGGCUCUCUGGUCUGUAACUGACGCUGAGGCUCGAAAGCGUGGGGAGCAAACAGG